GACGAACGCUGGCGGCGUGCCUAAUACAUGCAAGUCGAACGCAGUGGCGGACGGGUGAGUAACACGUGGGUAACUGCCCCCCUCUCUGGGAUAACAGUUGGAAACGGCUGCUAAUACCGGAUAGUGGGGGAUGACUCGCGUCCUAUCAGCUUGUUGGUGGGGUAGUGGCCUACCAAGGCGACGACGGGUAGCCGGCCUGAGAGGGCGACCGGCCACAUUGGGCUGAGAUACGGCCCAAACUCCGACGGGAGGCAGCAGUGGGGAAUAUUGCACAAUGGGGGAAACCCGGAUGCAGCAACGCCGCGUGCGGGAUGACGGCCUUCGGGUUGUAAACCUCUUUCGCUAUCGAAAGGGUAGGUGGAGAAGAAGCGCCGGCUAACUACGUGCCAGCAGCCGCGGUAAUAC
rnacentral:rRNA from 1 species